UAGGCGAUCACCGUCCUUUGUUCCUCCUUUGUUUUUCGUUUGACAUUUCUCCCAUUGACGACUCUACUCCUGCUUUGUUCGGCUGUUUUUUUUUUUUAUUCCGUUGACGCAUGUGUCUGCCCAUUCUUAGUUUCGCCAUUUGCCGCUGUUGUUGUUGCCAGCCAUCUACCCCCCCCCACGACCCUGCAUGUAUGGCUGUUGCUCCUAGCGAGCCUGCAGAGCAUCUGUCGCCCUUUGCGCACAUACACACACACGCAUACGCACUCUCCUCUCUCGUGCUCCUCCUCGCAGCUUUUGUUGUUAUUGUCUAUCUCCUUUUUAUUCUCUGUAGAGUAGCGCCCUUCCUCCCUCCCUCUCUUGUGGGUAUGCCUGUGACUACUCCCCUUCACACGCAAACGCACAUUUGUGUUCUUGUAGCUGGAUUUGUCACUUGAAGGUCCAUUAGAAGCUGCUGUGCACGUCAUCGCCGACUCACCGCUGCCCCCCCAUCCCUUCCUCUCCUCUGCCUCUCCGCCCCUUGCGCGCACGUGCUUCUCCGCACUCUCCUCCUCUCUCUCCCUCUUGUGUUCUUUUGUUGUUGUUUCGACUGUCAAGUCCUCGCCUCUGUCUCGACGCGUUCGAUGCAUGCCUCCGUACUCGUCUGCUUUCUCGGGUCUUUCUGCGUCUCUUCCUUCCGUUUAACGUCUCGUCACCAGCGUGCCUGUCCUCCACACCUUCCCCCUCCCCCUGCUCUCUCCACCCUGUCUGGCGGACAAGCACGAGAAGUCGCCGGAGACGCCAUCCAUCAUGAACACCACUGUGGAUGUGGCUGCCUGGCCGAUCGGGCAAACUAGUUCGGAUCGCAGUAGCAGCAGCAGCAGCGGUUUUCCACUCGCCAUCUGCCUGCACCGGUACCUGCGGUGGCUCGGGCAGCUCCACGGCACCAUCGACGCCGUCAGCGACGAUGCCUACACACUCGACCGUCUUCUUUGCCAAGGGGUGCUUCCGCUCCGUCAGCGUACUGGCGUCGCACCCACCCUGGCGGAAGCGCGAUUGUGCGCCGCUGUUUGCGCGCUGCUCAUCGGAGACACCGCGGCACAGUCGGCGCGCCCGCAGGAAAACAUGCGGGCGACGUCAGCAACAACGACCGGGGGCGGGUAUAGCGCAGCAAGUCUCAGGAGUGCUGCCUUUUCACCACCAAUUGUGCACACCGAGGCCCCCUCCUGCCCGUGUCGCGUCUACUUUGAGCAGCAGCAGCGAGAGGUGGAGAGUCGUCGUCUUUCGCUCAGUCGGCGAAGCAGCCAAGAGGACGACGACAAGGAAAGCCACGCCGGGCAUGCGGCCACCAUCAGCAGUGCCAGUGGCAGCGAUGACGAGAGCAAGGAUUGUGCGGUGCACCUCAGUGCAACUAUGUCCCAUUUACCGGCCAGGUUGAAGGAUGUCUCACGCGACGUUGAUAACACCGGCAGCAGUGGCGGGCUGGCAGGUGCGCUACUCGCACACACGGUGACGCUUGGUUGCAGCCGAAGCAGUUCCAGUCCUCGUGGAGAUGUCGCCGCUUUUGGAAGGAAGGUGCGCGCCGGCUCGCGCCCGUCAGUCGCGCCGUCCCAGCCGGUGCCUCUCCUCCUUCCUGUCGCUGCAGCCACGCCUUCUUCUGCCGCUUUGGUUGAGCUCCGCAGCGAUGCACCACAGGCGAAUUCUAAUGGAGACGCACAACGCCAUCAGCGUGGUGGCCGCGAAGGCAGUGACUCCUCUGCUGCUUCAUUUUUUCGGCCACGCCCCAUGCCCGUUGGCGCUGACACCCGAGCGCACCGCACUCUCCACCCCAUGCUGGCCCACGUCAGGCCCGAAGAUGUUCGACGCUGCUCGCUCUGCAGCGCGCAGGUGCUGCUCGAGAGCGCGUGGCAUGCUAUAUAUCAGAUGAGCUUACUGACGCUGUUGAGCGCUGCCCCCUCCAUGGCCGCUCCGCUACCGCUGCCACCUCCAGAUGUCCUGCGCAUGCACCCGGCCGAGGCCCUCCUGCUGUUGUACCAGUGCGCUCAACGGUGCUUCGUGUCGGGCAUUAUCAUGGCGACGUCUGUUGGUCUACCAGCAUCCUCGGUGAGAGGUGGUUCAUCCUCGCCGCAGGGAGACGUGAGCGCACAGUCGCUAAGCGCACUGGAUGUGCUGCGCGGUUGCCACGGUGGUGAGGCUGCCACUACCGCUGGCCUUUCUGAGCAGCAGCAGCGGCGCACCACUGAAGAGGGUGUGCUCGCAGGGCUUGCAGGCGGCCUGCUUUGCGUAGUGGAAGGCGUCAUUGGCACAGCUGCUCCACAGCUGUGGCCGCGCGCGACCACAGCUGCGCCGGUGAAACAGGCAGUGGAGGACAUCAUGGGCGAUGCGCUGAGGCUACGCUUUGGGCUCUUCCACACUAUUUUUGUGAUCCUUACCACCGAGGACGGCAGCCGCGCGGCACUGAAGAAUCUGGCAACUGUCUGUGGUGAGCUACUAGCAUGUCUGCAGCGUCUUACAUUCUGGCACCAGAAGGGCCUCGUAUCGUCCGAGUCCUCAUCACGCUCCUUCUCGCUGGCGCAGAGGAGCGAUGGGGACACUCACCUCCCUGAGGGCGAUGAACAGGGGAUGAUAAGCAGCAAGGAAGCCUCAGGGGAGGCCGCUGAUGCUGUGGCUGCGGAAAAGCUGCCGUCAUCAUCGACCUCUGUGGACGCUAACCCUAUCGACGCGGCCCAUGAAGCGCUCACCCAGGCAUUCGCGCUUCUCGACGUCCCUCACACCACUGCAGGUGGCGUUGGCGACGUCAUCGACGGCAAAGCCAUGACUGUUUUGAUGGAGGAUAUAAGCGUUCUGUGCUGCGUCGCGGCCCUCGUCGGAUCCUUCGCAAGGCUGGUCCACACGCGCGAGAUGUUAGCGAGCGUAGCUGCCGAUGCAUUACUGUCCGCAUCGAAGCUCGCCUUCCCCUCCUCGCAGUUGUCGUCCUCGCCGCUACUGUCACUGCAUCAUAACAGCCUCCUCCUCGACUGUCAUGUCUAUCCGUGUCUUCAGCGACUUCAGAGCUCUAUUCGAGGAGACUGUAGUGUGCAAGCGCGCCAUCUUAUCGCCCUGUGGUGGUUACUGCGUGCAGAAACCGUGCGGCACUGGGUGUGGGCAGCAACGAGCGGGCCGUCUCACGUGCAGGGCUGCAGCACCUUGGACACGGCAGAGGAGUUGCACUCGACGGAGGGCUCCGCGUUGCAUGUUUUAGGCGUCAACAUCACAUUGUACGAGGACCUGAAACGUGACGCGCAGCCGAUUCAAAAGCAGCAGCGUCAGCACUGGCCCCAGUGGCUCAAGGAUGCCUCUCGAGCAGCGGUGCGCGCGAGCGACGUAGCAAAUGAAUUUCUUGGGCUCACCCUCAUCCAGGCCUGGUCCUCCGCCUCCUCACCACUCGUGAAGAAGUCGCCGUCGCCGGUAAUGUCCGACGCAUCGAUGGCCGCGCCUCUGCGCUGGCGGUUGCCGGCGUCUUCGGCGCCGCCCUUGUCACCGCAGACGCCCGGCGCCUUCCUCCCUUUGCCGUGGAUUCGCCUGUGGCUGUUACUGUGUCCUCCGUUGUUCCGCAUCUCGCCCGCCGACGUCGUCGCACUACGCCAAAGAGUUCAGCGACAGCCGCAGCACGGAGAGGAGGAGGCGCCGAGGGCGUUUGGGGUGCCGACCACAGCAAACCGCGGCGCGGUGCCGGUCGAAACUAAAAGAAGCUUAGCCGUCGCCACCAACAAGAUGAGGUCGAUUCAGGCACGCCAAGCUUCGCCAAAGAGCACCCACCAGCUCGGCAGCCGCGCGCAGCCGAAAGCAACUCAACGCACCGCCGGCGCACUUACUUCGUUGGGGCUCGCUAGCCCACGCAUAGGCAGCCGCAACCGCGGUGGGAGCGUCACCGGCGCCACCGCCUCUCCAAGCGACAAUCAGGGCAAGGAAGCACAGCUUCAGCGGCGUCUGCAGCUGAGCAAAGAGCCAUUGUGCUUCUGGCUUCGAUGGUGUCUUCUCUUUACACCCUCGCCUCUUGUGCAGCCUCGGUCGAUCGAUUCGGACGUGCCAAGGAAGUCCUCCUCGACCUUGCUGUUGUCUGCGCUUGAGUACGUCGUUAUAGGUUUGCGUCGCCCCAUGGCUGCGUGGAUUCAAGGGCCGCAGCGCAGUGCAGCGCCGUCGACGGAGCUUGUCUGUUUGCUUCAGCAUGCCUUUCCUCUUUACACCCCUGCGAACGUGGUGACGGCAUUAAAGGUCCAAGCGCAGCUGUUUCUGGAGCGCGAGGUGGAUCUGCAGCACGGAGUGGCGACUGAGACUCAGGCGGCAGCGGCUCCGCUGCCCAUGCGCGAGACUCUUGAAGGUUUCACCUUCGCCCCUUACUCCUUUGCCGCUGCACUGGCAGCUCUGCAGGACGUGGUAAAGCACUCAAAGCACUCGCAGGUGGCAGCAGUGAGGUCCAUCCCGCCCCACGAGCAGGACGUCUCUCGAGCCGCGACUUCCGAGUCACUAUCCGCGGCAGACCCUCCUCACUCAAAGCCAAAGCAGCUCGUCCCAUCACCGCCUUAUGUCGAGAGCCGAAGUUGCAGCGUCGUCGGCGCUGCAACCGUCGCCACAGUGACUCAAUCAACUCAACACAGUGGAACUCGCCGAUCACCGUUGGUGCCAGCACGCGUCCUCUCGCGACGCGUCGCCGGCACGAGCGCCAAGUCCUCCGCUACAGGCACAGCCACCGGUGAAGGCGAUUGGGGUAAAGUUGAAAAGGCCGCGAAGUCUGCGGCUGCGGAUGGCAUGGAGCCCGGGACAGCUGACUCCACGACCGCGGAAAGCGCACGACGGACGUCUGCUAUCUGAUCUUCUUUGCUACGCGGCGCCCCUCCACCGCCGUGCCUGAUGAAGGUCACUGGAUGAAAAGGCGGCCGAACGCAAGCUUCGCCUCUUUGGUGUCUGCUUUCCUUGUCGAUCGUGCACAGCUGCCUGUGACGUGAUCACACUGGAUGUUGCAUGCGUGAAAAGCCGUGUCGUUAGUAGAAUGCCAUCAGUCGCUUGUUUUUUUUUUUUUUCGUGGCGUGGCCGCACUGAGCGGGAGCGAUCGCCCAGCGGACGCUAUCUGUUCAAGCGCGACACUGUUUUCUUGUUGGGGGGAGGGAGGGGCAGUCGCGAGCGACGCUGCCGGGGAGAAAAGAGAAAACAAAAAGGAGUCAGGCAGAUGGGCUCACUGCUGUUGCGCCUCGAAGGGCGCAGCAGUAUGUGCGCUUUGUCGUACUCCGCUGCUUUUCACUGCCGCCUCCUGGGCUGGCAGCUCCACUAGGUCGGCCGCAUCCACCGGCCCUCAUCAUCUCCCACCAUCACCACCACCACCACCCCUCACCUCUGCGUGUGUGUUCUCCGCUCCACAUUG
rnacentral:misc_RNA from 1 species